rnacentral:lncRNA from 1 species
UCAAGUGAUUGAAACUUCAUUUAGUUUUUCACAACCUUCUUAUAUAUUUUUAUUUAUUUAUCAUUCAUUCUCCAAUUUUUUUUUAAUUUCUUUCUUUAACCACUCAAUGAACAUUUUGAUUAUCUUCAUUUGUUUUUCGGUUUUACUUUUCUAUGCUCUAUAUUCUAUUUGCUCCCUAUCCGGUGGAGUUGGAAGGGGCACGAGGUACUACCACUAGCCUCCCUCUUGUGCCGUCCCUAAUAUACUCUACACCAAAUAGUUGGGUCAAAUAAUGCCGGGUACUACCACUAGCCUCCCUAUUGGCACCAUCCCUAUGAUGAGCAAUGUAGAAAGUGUGGAGUGAUUGAUUAAAACCCCAUGUGAUUUUGAUGAGCUCAAAGCAUUUGAGUAUAUCUUGUGAUUACUAAUGAAUUCAAUUGAGUGUUUCAGUGAAAAACCUGUCCAAGUGUCUCUAGACUUGGUUCAUAGUAUAUUGGUUAAGUUAAGAAGUCUGCUGAACCAAAGUCUGAGACUCGAGUCGACUCCAGAUUAGUACGAGUCGACUCCGACUGAGAACAGAAAGAAGAACAGAAAGCCUCAUCUCAGAACCUGUCAACGAGUCGACUCCUGAAGUGCGCGAGUCGACUCCAAUGUUCACCGAGUCGACUCCAGGGAAGUAAGAGUCGACUCCAAGCAGUCACAGGCAGAAAAGUC